GUCCCCGUAGCUCAGUUGGAUAGAGCGUCGGUUUCCUAAACCGCAGGUCACCCGUUCAAUUCGGGUCGGGGACACCA
rnacentral:tRNA from 1 species